rnacentral:rRNA from 1 species
GGGUCAUUAGGUUGGUCGUGCCACCGGUACGUACUGGUCUAACUGAUUCCUCCUUCCUGAAGAACCGUAAUGCCAUUAAUUUGGUGUUGCGGGGAAACAGGACUGUUACUUUUAAAAAAUUAGAGUGUUUAAAGCAAGCUAACGCUUGAAUACAUUAGCAUGGAAUAAUGAAAUAGGACGAUCGAUCCUAUUUUGUUGGUUUCUAGGAUUGACGUA